rnacentral:rRNA from 1 species
UACAGAGGUCUCAAGCGUUGUUCGGAUUCAUUGGGCGUAAAGGGUGCGUAGGCGGCGGGGCAAGUCGGAUGUGAAAUCUCAGGGCUCAACCCUGAAACUGCAUUCGAUACUGCCUUGCUCGAGGACUGGAGAGGAGAUUGGAAUUUACGGUGUAGCGGUGAAAUGCGUAGAUAUCGUAAGGAAGACCAGUGGCGAAGGCGGGUCUCUGGACAGUUCCUGACGCUGAGGCACGAAGGUCAGGGGAGCAAACGGG